rnacentral:rRNA from 1 species
UCCGUAGGCGGGCAAUUAAGUCAGAGGUGAAAUCCCACAGCUCAACUGUGGAACUGCCUUUGAUACUGGUUGUCUUGAGUUACAGUGAAGUAGAUAGAAUAUGUAGUGUAGCGGUGGAAUGCAUAGAUAUUACAUAGAAUACCGAUUGCGAAGGCAGUCUACUAACUGUAUACUGACGCUAAUGGACGAAAGCGUGGGGAGCGAACAGGAUUAGAUACCCUGGUAGUCC